ACAGCUUGCUCCGUGGAGCGGCUUUUUGUAUGCCUACGACAGGGUGCAGCCAAAAGCCAAGGUGAAGUGGCACAAAGUCAACUGAAAUGCGAUGGGCUGGAGCAUUAAGUGAUCCAAAUGGUGAUGGAUGAAACUUGGGAACCAUAAUUACAGAGCUGAAUGCUGGCUCUUUCUACAAGCAGAAAAAGUGUCUUAUCCAUUAUUUCACUUGAUAGAAAGCAACAAAUGGAGUUGUAUCUUUUCUUUAUUCAAGAAGAGAGGUUUACAUGGAGCCGCGAGCACAUAUAACUUCUUUAUUUAUGGAGAAAGAAGCCAGGAAAAGCUAUGUUGACCUAAGGCAGUUCAAAACUUUUCCUGAGUUCCUAUUCACUUCACUGUGUGAUAAAUGUGCAUUUGAAGUUCAGCUAUGAAAGACAAAAUAGCUUCUUUUCUCUUCCCAAUUCUCCUCCAAUUGAUUACAUCCUUGCUAUUGAUUUCUCUCUGAUCUGAUAAUAGAAUAUGCUAGCAGGAGUAUCACAUGCAACUUCUGGACACUGUAGGGACAAUCCUUGUGGCAAGCAACAAAAUUCUUUCACAACUCAAGAAUUUUUAUAUGAUGUAUCAUUAGUAUUUAACAUCUGAUAAACUGUCAAAGAUGUGCAAAGAUAUUUCAAUGUAUGUUGGAAAUGUAAAUUUAAACUUUUUGUCAUCUUUGGUGAACUUGUAACAAAAUAAAGAAAUACGGGGGUAGGAGUCAUAUUUUAAUAUAGAAGAUUCUUAAGGUGAAUAUAAAAAUAAAACCAGAGACUUUUCUUUUAGGCUUAAUGGACAAAGAUCUUGGGGGGGAAAUCUGGAACUUUGCUGUUAUAUAUGUUGACAGCAGCAAGAAUGCUUUAUGUACAAAAAUGGAAAGAUACUCUAAUUCCCACAAUGGAUGAAUGGCUGGAAAAAUUGAUGGAACUAGCAGAGAUGGCAAAAUUGACUCCUUUAAUCAAAAAGAAAAGAAUACAUUCAACUUUGUUUCUGCUUGGAAACCACUUCUGGACCUUGUGCUUGAGGUGGGGGAAAAAUGAAUCUUUGACUUUGGAUUUUGCUGAUUAGAUAAUUUUGUUGUUAUAGAAAUGGCUAGUAUAUGUUAAGUAUGUAAAAAUAAAAAGAUGAGGCUGUAAUUCACUAUCUUAUUCUACUGUGCUGAAGAGUUGGAAGUCAAUGUUCUUCUUUUCUUUUUUCCUCUUUACCCUACAUUUCUUUC